AUUGAACGCUGGCGGCAUGCCUUACACAUGCAAGUCGAACGGCAGCACGGGGGCAACCCUGGUGGCGAGUGGCGAACGGGUGAGUAACAUAUCGGAACGUGCCCUGGAGUGGGGGAUAACUAGUCGAAAGACUAGCUAAUACCGCAUACGAUCUACGGAUGAAAGUGGGGGAUCGCAAGACCUCAUGCUCGUGGAGCGGCCGAUAUCUGAUUAGCAGUUGGUGGGGUAAAGGCCUACCAAGGCAUCGAUCAGUAGCUGGUCUGAGAGGACGACCAGCCACACUGGGACUGAGACACGGCCCAGACUCCUACGGGAGGCAGCAGUGGGGAAUUUUGGACAAUGGGGGCAACCCUGAUCCAGCAAUGCCGCGUGAGUGAAGAAGGCCU
rnacentral:rRNA from 1 species